rnacentral:lncRNA from 1 species
GUUCAGUCUCUAGUACUACAAAAUAAAUAAAUAAAAUAAACCAGAAAAGCUGGGUGUGGUGGCUCAGAACAUCAGCAUUUAUUUAAUAUUAAGAGUGAAGACUUGUGAUCAGCUGGAACUAAGACAUUGUGUUAACUCUAUGCACUCUCAGAGUCUAAACACUAAGGUCAGAUCUCCCAAAACGUGACUAACACGCAUUGUACGCUUCCACCAACCUAGUCAUCUUCUGCUUGUCUGUCACAGUGAUGAUCACAGUAUGCACUUGUACACAUGCACGCUCAUGUUGUGAUGCUCUGGGUCAUAAUCACUUCUUAAUUUCACCACUUUAUACAGUGGCCAAGCAGGCACCUCAAACUCUGGCAUUUACACCAAGCACAUUUUAUGCAUUUUGUGUUGGCAGUUACGGAGGGCAAAAGCAAUUUAUUGUUGCAAUGUAUAAAUAAUUUUGAUAAAACAGUUUAUAUUUUAUAAAGUUAUUAUAACACUAAAGCUGUACCUCAAAACUCUCACAAAUAAUUUAAUCAAAUAGUCUACAUGAAUUCAGAGGAUCUGUGUGGACCUUUUUAUCGAUCUUAUAGUAUCCUCUUUAGCAAAUUAUGACCUUCACUUUACUGGACUUUUUUGAGUUUUCUGUUUGUUUUUAAUUUUUUUCCCCCUAGCCUUCACUUCAUUGUUUUUCCUAAAUUCAACAAUAUUGGAUGAUCCUGUGCCUAGCAUGUUAGGGCCACUGUACCUCAGGAACAGCACUUGAGUUAACCAUGUCACCGCAGUGAGCUCAUCUCUUAACAUUGUCCAAAUCUGAGUCUAGUGACAAGCAUGAAAGCAUGUUGCUACAUGAAGAACUGAGCUUAAAACAGCCUUGUAUGAAACAUUGCCAUGUUUUCAUUGUAUUUCAAGAACAAUUAGAAUUGUCCAGAGAUACUUCACAUUAUCUUCCAAUUCAUCAUCAUUUUUUCCAAGAUCUUUUGGAAGAAAAAAAAAAUUUUUUUUUUUUUUUUUGAGACAAGGUUUUUCUGUAUAGCCCUGGCUGUACUGGAACUCAUUCUGUAGACCAGGCUGGUCUUGAACUGCACUCAGAAAUCCGCCUGCCUCUGUCUCCCGAGUGCUGGGAUUAAAGGCGUGCGCCACCACGCCCGGGCGAAAAUUUUUAUAAAAAGAGCAACAGUAUGUUGCUUUAGGUUACUUUAAAUGCCAGUUAAUUGCCUUGUAAAAGGAUUCC